rnacentral:rRNA from 1 species
AUUGAACGCUGGCGGCAGGCUUAACACAUGCAAGUCGAACGAGCGGCGGACGGGUGAGUAAUGUCUGGGAAACUGCCUGAUGGGGGGGGAUCACUACUGGAAACGGUAGCUAAUACCGCAUAACCUCAGAUGUGCCCAGAUAGGAUUAGCUAGUAGGUGGGGUAAUGGCUCACCUAGGCGACGCUCCCUAGCUGGUCUGAGAGGAUGACCAGCCACACUGGAACGGAGACACGGUCCAGACUCCUACGUGAGGCAGCAGUGGGGAAUAUUGCACAAUGGGCGAAAGCCUGAUGCAGCCAUGCCGCGGGUGUGAAGAAGGCCUUCGGGUUGUAAAGCACUUUCAGCGAGGAGGCGUUACUCGCAGAAGAAGCACCGGCUAACUCCGUGCCAGCAGCCGCGGUAAUAC